UCUUCAUUUCGCACACUCUCUCGAUUAUUAGAGUGGCGAGAGAGUAUGUGAAAUGAAGAGA
rnacentral:pre_miRNA from 1 species